UUGCUAUUCUAUUAGCGGAGGAAAAGAAAAUCACCACAUUCCCUCCGCACCGGCGAGUGAACAGGAAAGAGCUCCAAGUGGAACCUGUUUGGUUUAACCAAACCGGAUUGUAACCUGUAGAAGUGUUUCCUGGCACGCCCGACGAAAAAGUCCAUUGGAACAUGGUGACAUAGAGGGUGAGAGCCCCCGUAUUUUGUCAGAGCUGUUGUCUCUUGUGAUACACUUUCAAAGAGUCAGGUUGUUUGGGAAUGCAGCCUAAAUUGGGUGGUAAAUCUCACCCUAAAGCUAAAUAUUGGCAAAAGACCGAUAGCGAACAAGUACCGUGAGGGAAAGAUGAAAAGAACUUUGAAAAGAGAGUUAAACAGUAUGUGAAAUUGUUAAAAGGGAACCGUUUGGAGCCAGACUGGCUUGAUUGUAAUCAAUCUAGAUCUCGCUCCGGAUGCACUUGCAGUCUAUGCCUGCCAACGACAAUUCAUUCUGGAGGAAAAAACUAAGUGGAAUGUGGCCCCUCGGGGUGUUAUAGACUCUUAGAAAAUACUCUGGUUUGGAUUGAGGAACGCAGUGAAUGCUAUUUGGCGAAGAUGGAGGAUGCUUUUAUUCUGUUGUCUAGAAUCUCUGCUUCGGGUGGGGACAAGAUACCACGAGUAAAACUCGCCUAGUCAUACUCUCUAUCACUAGUG
rnacentral:rRNA from 1 species